rnacentral:misc_RNA from 1 species
UACUCUCACGCUCUCCAAUCCUCUGGGAUCGGGGAGUGGUGGACUUGGGCGUCUGCUGCUUGACUGUGGCUCGCCUUAAAUGGAUUAGUGCAACUCUUGGUUGGACAUAGUACGGCGUGAUAAGUGUCUUCGCCGGCACCUCGGAAGAGGGUGACUGAUUGAGAGCUCUGUGCUUCAAACUGUCUUCGGACAAUCUCUGACA